rnacentral:rRNA from 1 species
AUGAGGGAUUCCUAGCUGCUAGCACUUUUGUGUUAGCUUUUCCUCAGCGUAGAUAACUNAGGGAAUAAGGGCUGGGUAANACGGGNGCCNGCCGCCGCGGU